UACGUAGGGUGCGAGCGUUGUCCGGAAUUAUUGGGCGUAAAGGGCUCGUAGGCGGUCUGUCACGUCGGCUGUGAAAUCCCGAGGCUCAACCUCGGGUCUGCAGUCGAUACGGGCAGACUAGAGUUCGGUAGGGGAGUCUGGAAUUCCUGGUGUAGCGGUGAAAUGCGUAGAUAUUGGGAGGAACACCAGUGGCGAAGGCGGCUCACUGGACCGGUACUGACGCUGAUGCGCGAAAGCGUGGGGAGCAAACGGG
rnacentral:rRNA from 1 species